UACGAAGGGGGCUAGCGUUGUUCGGAUUUACUGGGCGUAAAGCGCACGUAGGCGGGUCGUUAAGUCAGGGGUGAAAUCCCGGAGCUCAACUCCGGAACUGCCUUUGAUACUGGCGACCUUGAGGCUGGAAGAGGUUAGUAGAAUUCCCAGUGUAGAGGUGAAAUUCGUAGAUAUUGGGAAGAACACCAGUGGCGAAGGCGGCUAACUGGUCCAGAUCUGACGCUGAGGUGCGAAAGCGUGGGGAGCAAACAGG
rnacentral:rRNA from 1 species